rnacentral:rRNA from 1 species
UACGAAGGGUGCAAGCGUUACUCGGAAUUACUGGGCGUAAAGCGUGCGUAGGUGGUUUGUUAAGUCUGAUGUGAAAUCCCCGGGCUCAACCUGGGAAUGGCAUUGGAUACUGGCAGGCUAGAGUGCGGUAGAGGGUGGUGGAAUUCCCGGUGUAGCAGUGAAAUGCGUAGAGAUCGGGAGGAACAUCUGUGGCGAAGGCGGCCACCUGGACCAGCACUGACACUGAGGCACGAAAGCCAGGGGAGCAAACGGG